rnacentral:rRNA from 1 species
CACGUAGGGCGCAAGCGUUGUCCGGAAUUAUUGGGCGUAAAGAGCUCGUAGGUGGUUUGUUACGUCCGCUGUGAAAUCCCCGGGCUCAACCCGGGAACUGCGUCCGAUACUGGCAGGCUUGAAUCCGGAAGAGGAGAGUGGAAUUCCUGGUGUAGCGGUGAAAUGCGCAGAUAUCAGGAGGAACACCGGUGGCGAAGGCGGGGUCUCUGG